rnacentral:rRNA from 1 species
AUGGCGAUGCUUCGUGAUGUUUGGAUGCCAAGCAGCCAAUGCUAUUUCACAGGGCCACUUUGGCCGUCUUUUGAGGCGGAAAAUUUUGAGCUAAAGCCUGGUCUUAUUGCUUUGGUUCAACAACAUCAGUUUGAAGGGUUGCCUAAUGAAGAUCCUUAUGAGCACUUGCUCCGAGUCAUGGAGUAUUCAGAUAUAGUAAAGUACCAUGGAGUUCCUCAAGAAGCUAUCAAGUGCAUGUUGUUCACAUUCUCUCUCCGAGAUGGUGCUCGUGCUUGGUAUCGAUCCUUGCCAUCAAGAUCAUUCGGUUGGAAUGAGAUAUCACGAGCUUUCUUGGAUAAAUAUUUCCCACUACACAAGCAGUCCGCAAUUCGAGAUGAGAUCUUCAAUUUCGUUCAGCGUGAAGGCUAG